rnacentral:lncRNA from 1 species
CAUAAGGUUACAACAGUAAAUUUCUGAGGCAGUACCCUUAACCUUAAAGGAAUUUUAAACUCUCUCUCAUUGUUGAUCAUCAUAAAAAACAGCAUUCAUACCGUUUGCAACAUUUCAUUUGCUAUUUAUCAGUAAUUUAUCCUCAAGACUAUCUCUAGUUAAUUUAUGUUUAGUAAAUCAGGCCCUAAUUAUAUUCCUGAUUAUGUGCACUUUUUCAGCUGAAAUGUGAAGAGUCUACAGAGAUGCUGCAUUUGCAUUUUCCAUCUGGAGCGGCCACAGAACUGCGGUGUGAAAUGCUGUGAAGUCCGCUGUUAUCCUUAUCUUGGCACCACCUUGAACAAAAACUACAAAGACUGCCAUAUAUCCUGGCCACUCAUUCCCCACCUUAUUCUCAGACUUCUCAUUCAGGGAAGAACCUCUGAAAACUAA